rnacentral:rRNA from 1 species
GUGCAGCAGUCGCGAAAACUUUACACUGCGGGAAACCGCGAUAAGGGGACCCCGAGUGCCAGCACCUAGUGCUGGCUGUCCUACUGUCUAAAUAACAGUGGUUAGCAAGGGCCGGGCAAGACCGGUGCCAGCCGCCGCGGUAACACCGGCGGCCCGAGUGGUAACCGUUUUUAUUGGGUUUAAAGGGUCCGUAGCCGGCUUAUUAAGUCUCUUGGGAAAUCUGGCGGCUCAAUCGUCAGGCGGCCAAGAGAUACUGGUAGGCUUGGGACCGGGAGAGGUGGGAGGUACUCCAGGGGUAGGGGUGGAAUCUCGUAAUCCUUGGGGGACCACCGAUGGCGAAGGCAUCCCACCAGAACGGGUCCGACGGUGAGGGACGAAAGCUGGGGGCACGAACCGGAUUAGAUACCCGGGUAGUCCCAGCUGUAAACGAUGCUCGCUAGGUGUCAGGUGCGGUGCGACCGCAUCUGGU